UGGGGGGUAAAGCAGGCAGAUUCAUUUUCUGCCACCGAAUACAUUAGCAUGGGAUAAUGGAAUAGGACCCUGUCCUCCUUUUUUCAGUUGGUUAAUUCAUGAGAGAGGAACAGGGUAAUGAUUAAUAGGGAUAGUUGGGGGCAUUAAUAUUUAAUUGUCAGAGGUGAAAUUCUUGGAUUUAUGAAAGAUUAACUUCUGCGAAAGCAUCUGCCAAGGAUGUUUUCAUUAAUCAAGAACGAAAGUUAGGGGAUCGAAGACGAUCAGAUACCGUCGUAGUCUUAACCAUAAACGAUGCCGACCAGCGAUUAGGAGACGUUGAAUACAAAACACCUCUAUAUAUAAUUCAGUAUAUGGCUAGCAAUGGCUGUAUAUUGUUUGUGUAUAGUUACGGUGAAUGACUCCCCUAGCAGCUUGUGAGAAAAA
rnacentral:rRNA from 1 species